GCGGUUAUAGUAUAGUGGUAAGUAUUUGCGCUUGUCACGUGCGAGACCCGGGUUCAAUUCCCGGUAACCGCG
rfam:Spironucleus salmonicida unplaced genomic scaffold scf7180000020636, whole genome shotgun sequence.